AGCAGCCGCGGUAAUUCCAGCUCCAAUAGCGUAUAUUAAAGUUGUUGCAGUUAAAAAGCUCGUAGUUGAAUUUCGGGGUCAGUAGGCUGGUCGUGCCACAGGUACGCACUGGUCUCACUGAUUCCUCCUUCCUGAUGAACCGUAAUGCCACUAAUUUGGUGUUGCGGGGAGACUGGACUGUUACUUUGAAAAAAUUAGAGUGUUUAAAGCAGGCUAACGCUUGAAUACAUUAGCAUGGAAUAAUGAAAUAGGACGUUCGGUCUUAUUUUGUUGGUUUCUAAGAUUGACGUAAUGAUUAAUAGGGAUAGUUGGGGGCAUUAGUAUUCAAUUGUCAGAGGUGAAAUUCUUGGAUUUAUUGAAGACUAACUACUGCGAAAGCAUUUGCCAAGGAUGUUUUCAUUAAUCAAGAACGAAAGUUAGGGGAUCGAAGACGAUCAGAUACCGUCGUAGUCUUAACCAUAAACUAUGCCGACUAGGGAUCGGAUGAUGUUAAUUUUUUAAUGACUCA
rnacentral:rRNA from 1 species